AUUAAAUAGCCGCAGUAUUUUGACUGUGCGAAGGUAGCAUAAUCAUUUGUCUUUUAAUUGAAGGCUUGAAUGAAUGGUUUGAUGAGAAGACAACUUUCUUUAUAUAAAAUAUUGAAUUUAAUUUUUAAGUUAAAAAGCUUAAAUGUUUAAAUGGGACGAGAAGACCCUAUAGAAUUUUAUUCUUUGUUAUUUUAAUUAAUGAUUUGGUAGAUAUCUUUGUUAUUAUAAUAGGAAUUUUGUUGGGGUGACAGUGAGAUUUAUUUAACUCUCAUAAUUUAAUUAUUAAUAAUUAUUAUUUUAAAGAUCCUAUUUUAUGGAUAAUUAGAUUAAAUUACCUUAGGGAUAACAGCGUAAUUCUUUUUGAGAGUUCUUAUCGAUGAAGGAGUUUGCGACCUCGAUGUUGGAUUAAAAUUAGAUUUUAGUGCAGAAGCUAAAU
rnacentral:rRNA from 1 species